CGGGUGCGUAACGCGUAUGCAACCUACCCACAACUGGAGGAUAGCCCGGAGAAAUUCGGAUUAAUACUCCAUAAUGCAGGGGUACCACCUGGUACUAUUUGCUAAAGAUUUAUUGGUUGUGGAUGGGCAUGCGUCUGAUUAGUUAGUUGGUGAGGUAACGGCUCACCAAGACUACGAUCAGUAGGGGGUCUGAGAGGAUGAUCCCCCACACUGGCACUGAGAUAUGGGCCAG
rnacentral:rRNA from 1 species